AAAUAAUUUAAAUAAUUUCACAUAUUAUAUAUUCAUUCAAACGUAAAACGUAUCAAAUAUAAAAUAAUUUUAAUUCAAUACACGUAUCAAUAAUAAUUUUAUAUUUCGAGUACGCGAUCGUUGUUUACAAUCGAUAUCAACAAAGAACGAACGCUCAAUUGAUUUUGUUAGUACGUAGGUUAGUUUUCUAUUACACCUCGGCGAGUGAACAUCGAAGCUCUCUCUUUUCAUACGGCUAACCUUAAAUAAUUAAUAUUUUCGAUUAAUUUAUAAUUAUUUAAACGAUAUAUGAUGUACGUAGAAUAUAAUGAAUUAAUAUUUAAGCAAAUAAUUUAUUUAUUUAAACGAUAGAUAACCCGUGACAUAGGUUAAUUAUAAAAUAAUUUUAAUGUAAUAUUUGAAUAAACAUAAAUUUUGAACGCAAAGUCAUUGCUUGUAUAUAACGUGGAAUAAAAAUGAAACGUUCAAUUGACUUUAGCCAGUUAUCGAAUUAGUUUUCUUUUAGAUUUCAAUGAAUGAACGUCGUAAUUUUCUUCACGUUUGUGACAUUUGAAUAAAGCUUAAACAAUUUAACAUUUCAAUUAUUUUACAUUAAUUUACUUUUAAUUCCUCUCGAUCAUAAUCUUGUAACAAUGUCGGCGAGGAUUUAAUAAGAAGAACGAUAUUGAGUGUUUAUACCGUAAAAAAAAAAAAAAGAAAAAAAAUCUGUUCGUAUUAUUUAAUCGCGAAUUAAACGAUAAAUAUUUUUGCAUCGAUUGCGUGCAAUGAGAUCGCAUUAGAAUCAAUUUUCGUUAGCAUCCAUUAAAGAAGAUAUAUCUUUAUCAACUUCGACAUUUCAUUGUCAACCAGCUACGAAAUAAAUCUCCAGCAGAAUAUCGAUCAUAAAUCGUGGACGAUUGUUUUUCAACUGUCAUCGUAGAACUUCUUAAGUAAUUACUUAGGAUCUUCAGAUGCAGCAACCUCCACGUGGUAAGACUUGGGUCGAUAUUUCUUGCGAUUUAUAUCAAAAUCUAAUUCGAUAUGGUAAGUAAUAUCGAGGGAAUGGUUGCACAUUUCAGCGCAUUUCCAAAAUCCUUCUUUCGAUUUUAAUUUUGAUUAAAUACCUUUUAAUGAUUUUCGUUAGAUAAUCAUAAUUCAUUAGGUAAGAGAAAUAAAUUAGAA